rnacentral:rRNA from 1 species
GGAUGCGAUCAUACCAGCACUAACGCACCGGAUCCCAUCAGAACUCCGAAGUUAAGCGUGCUUGGGCGAGAGUAGUACUAGGAUGGGUGACCUCCUGGGAAGUCCUCGUGUUGCAUCCC